rnacentral:rRNA from 1 species
AUGUAUGAGAAUGUGGUUCAGUGGCGGUUCACGGGCUUCUAUGGUCACCCGAAAUGGAAUGAACACCAUUUAUCUUGGGAUGACAUUCAUAAUUUACAUAGUAAGAGCAACCAUCCCUGGGUGGUUUUGGGGGAUUUUAAUGAAAUUUUAUACCCGUCGGAAAAAGAGGGUGGUGUAGCUAGACCACUUGGUAUGAUGAGAGAGUUCCAUGAAUGCCUAAUGGAUUGUGGGCUGGAAGAUCCAGGCUAUAAUGGGGACAUGUUCACUUGGAGGAGAGGCGAAAUAUGUGAGCGCCUUGAUCGGGUAGUCUGUAACUUAGCAUGGGUAAACAAAUUCCCACGAGCAGCAGUUAUCAAUGAAGAACAUGUUCAUUCUGACCAUCACCCAAUCAUACUGGAUAUGGAGUAUUGGGAUGAAAAAAUAUUUAAACGCCCAAAGGGGCGUGUUAAAGAAUUUGAGGCGAGAUGGUUGAAGGAAGAGACGGUCACUGAAAUCGUUAAGGCAUCUUGGGAGAAGGCAAAUCUAGCAGGUAUUGGAUCCUCACUUGCUAACUGUACGAGAACAGUGCAUGUCGAUCUACAUACUUGGGAUCAGGAAACGCUAAAGGGACCAAAGGUGAGAAUUAGAAAAUUAAAAAAGAGUUGGAGAGACUAA